rfam:Hordeum vulgare subsp. vulgare, WGS project CAJW01000000 data, contig: morex_contig_59386
UAGAUACUCUCCAUGUUUUAAAAUUCUUAUCUUAAAUUUGUUUAGAUAUAAAUGUAUCUAAUCAUGUUAUAAUAUUUAGAUACAUUCAUUUCUACACAAAUCUAAAACAAGAAUUUUGGGACGGAGGGAGUAUUUC